rnacentral:rRNA from 1 species
AGUGAACGCUGGCGGCGUGCCUAAUACAUGCAAGUCGAACGGAGAUUCAGUAGCUUGCUAUUUAAUCUUAGUGGCGCACGGGUGAGUAAUAUAUAGCUAACUUGCCCAUUACUCAGGGACAACAGUUGGAAACGACUGCUAAUACCUUAUACUCCGUAUCUAUAUAAGUAGAUACGGGAAAGUUUUUCGGUAAUGGAUAGGGCUAUAUCGUAUCAGCUAGUUGGUAAGGUAAUGGCUUACCAAGGCUAUGACGCGUAACUGGUCUGAGAGGAUGAUCAGUCACACUGGAACUGAGACACGGUCCAGACUCCUACGGGAGGCAGCAGUAGGGAAUAUUGCUCAAUGAGGGAAACCCGGAAGCAGCAACGCCGCGUGGAGGAUGACACUUUUCGGAGCGUAAACUCCUUUUCUUGGGAAAGAAUUAUGACGGUACCCAAGGAAUAAGCACCGGCUAACUCCGUG